GAUGAACGCUGGCGGCGUGCCUAAUACAUGCAAGUCGAGCGAACGGACAAGAAGCUCGCUUCCCUGAUGUUAGCGGCGGGCGGGUGAGUAACGCGUGGAUCACCUUCUUCUUUGACGGGGAUAACUUCGGGGGACCGGUGCUAAUACUACAUAAUACUUUGAACCGGAUGGUUCAGAAGUGAAACAGGCUCUUGCUGUCUCUUAUAGCUGGUUCCGCGCUGCAUUAGCUAGUUGGUAAGGUAACGGCAUACCAAGGCGACGAUGCAUAGCCGACCUGAGAGGGUGAUCGGCCACACUGGAACUGAGACACGGUCCAGACUCCUACGGGAGGCAGCAGUAGGGAAUCUUGGACAAUGGGCGAAAGCCUGACGGAGCCAUGCCGCGUGAGUGAUGAAGGUCUUCGGAUCGUAAAACUCUGUUAUUAGGGAAGAACAGAUGCGUAAGUAACCGUGCACAUCCUGACGGUACCUAAUCAGAAAGCAACGGCUAACUACGUG
rnacentral:rRNA from 1 species